CGUCGCUCCGGGCUGGACUUUGGAACGCGUCGCCGUCGGACGCAGCCGCCGCGAGCGGAUCAGCCAUCAACGUGCCCCCUCUCGAGGCGGCGCGUCAACCCAGCUGGCCUCACUCGCACCGUUCACUCCCGUUUGACCGACCAAUCGCACGGCUAAGCACGUCAAACUUGGGUUCCAGAUAAACCCAUUUGCCACCAGUGUUGGAGAUAUUUAACAUGAGGGAAACAUGUUGCGCCCUCAGCGAAAUUUCCAUUUUGUAUUGUUCGUUCUGAAUCUGCAAGCGAUCAGGGACAUAAAUCUUCGUGAACCUGCCGGCAACAGUUGAUGGAUCAUUUGUAUAUAUCUCCUGCUCGCAGGGUCCGUGCUGGUGCAUGAACUUUCGAAAGGUAAGCGAUAAGAUUUGUCCUUGUAACGAUGGUGCUUCCUUCACAUGCCAAGUCACCCACAAUUUGUUGUCUUCUCUUUUAAGUUCCCUUGGGCAGGGAGAUGUUCUUGCAAACCCGCGGCAGCACCAUGUAAUUCGAUGCCAGAUUUGCUUUGUUUCCCAUCGUCCCAGCUGAUGUGCAGCACAAGGGGGAUUCGCAAGCUGACGAGAAGUUUCAGUGGCAAGUAGCAGUCAAUCUUCAAUAGCAAAACUCUCAUUCAAGACAGACACCUGAUGUGGCCUCAAACCUCAACAUGUACUCGAACUGAUCGGUCAUUGCCACCAUAUAAAUUUAGCUGAAAUCCUUGGUCUUCAAAAUAUCAAGAGAAUUCACCAAGAGAUUGUUGGAGUUGUUGGGACUCUCAGAAUUACAAGGUGAAGUAAUUAUGAGUGAUGGAAUUGCCUGGAGGAAGCAUGCCAUGGCUGAUUCCUUUUGUGGACCAAGCUGCUCAAAGCUUUUAGUGUCACGGCCGGCAGUGGCAUUGCAAUCGAAGCUACGGCCAUGAUGUUAAUGCAUGUGCUGCUGCUUCUGAACUCAUGUCAGUGCUACAUACGGAGAUGAUACUUUCGACGGUCAGCUCGAAAGGUUGGAGUUCCAUUCCCUUGUAUGCUUCCUAACUUCUUCCAUGGUAUGUAAAUUUGCAUCACUGAAGCCAUAAACAAUUGUACGUCAUGCAAAUGGAAGCACAGCUGUGGCAUCCUUGUUCCUGUCACAAUCUUUUUCUUUUGGCCCCAGAGCCGGCCAUCAUGAUCAUCAACCGGUCUCCAUGUCUUGCUUAAGAAAUGGUCGUCAGAUUGGAGAAGCAGAUGAGAGAUAGAACAGAAGGAUCAAAUAUUUCAGUGAGGGCACAGUGUCGGGAUAAGUAACUCUUACAUAACAGAGAAGGCUACGAGUCAA